rnacentral:rRNA from 1 species
UACGGAGGGUGCGAGCGUUAAUCGGAAUCACUGGGCGUAAAGCGUCUGUAGGUGGUGAUGCAAGUCACUGGUGCAAAACUCUGGCUCAACCGGAGGAAAGCCAGUGAAACUGCAUGACUAGAGUGUGGGAGAGGUAGAAGGAAUUCCCUGAGUAGCGGUGAAAUGCGUAGAUACAGGGAAGAACACCGGAGGCGAAAGCGUUCUACUGGAACACAACUGACACUGAGAGACGAAAGCUAGGGGAGCGAAUGGG